GACGAACGCUGGCGGCGUGCCUAACACAUGCAAGUUGAGCGACGAACCAGGGCUUGCCCUGGGGCAAAGCAGCGAACGGGUGAGUAACACGUGGGUAACCUACCCCGAUAACCGGGACAACCCGAGGAAACUCGGGCUAAUACCGGAUGUGCUCACUGGACUUCGGUUCAGUGCGUAAAGGAAGCUUCGGCCUCCGUAUCGGGAGGGGCCCGCGGCCCAUUAGUUUGUUGGUGAGGUAACGGCUCACCAAGACCGCGAUGGGUAGCUGGUCUGAGAGGACGAUCAGCCACACUGGGACUGAGACACGGCCCAGACUCCUACGGGAGGCAGCAGUGGGGAAUCUUGCGCAAUGCGCGAAAGCGUGACGCAGCAACGCCGCGUGGGGGAAGAAGGCCUUCGGGUUGUAAACCCCUUUCAGGAGGGACGAAGGUUCGGCGGUGAAUAGCCGUCCGGACUGACGGUACCUCCACAAGAAGCCCCGGCUAACUAUGUG
rnacentral:rRNA from 1 species